UUAAGUAGGUCAAUUUGUGGUUAAGGUCCUUUUACAAAAAAAAGGUGACACCAAAGGUCCUUUUAUACCACUUAGCUUGUGGUGAGGGUCCUUUCACUGGAUUUCAACCAUUGACUUUUUUUCUAGCCAAAAAAAGUCACGUGACUACUUAAAAUCGAAUUCCCCCUCCCCCCCCCUCCUUUAUCAAACCCUAAUUUCUUUCUCAUCAACCCCUUCUUCUAAUACCUUGUCUUUAUUAUCCAAGUGAAUAAAAAGAUGACAUCUUGAGUCUUCCGUUUUCUUUUUUGCUUGUUCUUCACCAUUUUCAGAUUACAAAAUGAGUAGUUUUAGAAAAGAAAAAUUGAACUUCGAACUAUUGUGAAAGAGAGCACACUACUACAUUUUUGACCAAAUGCAACGGCAUAAUAAAGGCUAAUGCAACGGUAUUUUAAUUUCCGUUGCAAUAGAGUAGGCUAUUGCCACGGAUUUAACACUAAUGUUCUUAGAGGUAGAGCUAUUGCCACGGCUCUAUAGAACCGUUGCAUUAGCCUACCUAUUUUAACAAAAAAAAGGAGCUAUUGCCACGGUAGUGUAUUUAUGAUGAAAAAUUUGAAAAUGCGCGGACUUCCCUCUAUUUUUUUGCCCAAAAUUUUUGAACAACAUAUUCCCCAAUUUUCACUCUGCACUUCUCAUUUUCUCCAUUUUUCCCAAUUAUCCAUUUUCUCACUUUCUCAUAUUUUCCCCAAUUCUCCAUAAUUAAUUCCAAAUUCUAAGAGGAAAAUUACUCAAAAAAUAUGAGGGCUUUGUUUUUUAGGAACACCAAGCACGGUGGUGUUAGGGUUAGGGUUCCACUACGGAACCACUCCAAAACCACCUCCGUUGACGAAUUCGACACCUCCACUCGUCUCCUUUCUCAGCUUAAGGUUUGAGGUCAAGUAUUGUGAUUAUUAAUGGAAAAAGAAACUCAAACGAAUGUAGAGGUGCAUGUGGUGGAAGUCAAGGAGAAGCUUGCUAGUGUUACGGAGCCAAUUCAGUGUAGGUGAAAUAAACAGCAGCAGAAACAGUAGCUUAGGCAGCAGAAACAACAGCUGGCAGAAACAGCAACAGACAUAACCAGCAGCAAGGACCUGCAGGCCAAAACCAGCAAGCCACUUUGUUAUAUUCCGGGGUGCUAUUUUGUUUUUCAGACUUGGAAUGCUUAUCUUUUGGUAAUUAAUGUGGCUACUGCCACUAUAAAUUAAUAAUAUUUUCCUUUUUGUGUAAAAAAAAAAUUUCUUUGAUGCCAUCUUUUAAACAACCAUAAUCUGAGCUAUGUUGAUUGUGGGCUUGGUCUAUUAUAAUUGAUAAUUUAGUUUAAUUAUAUUUCUUUUAUUUUUUUCAAUUUUACGUGUAGGUGCAUGGGGAGUCAAAUGGAGCGGAAGUAUAGUGACUAGCCAUCUAACAAAUGGUGCAUAUAUGUUGGCGACUCUUAUUCAAGUUCCAGCUUUGUGAAGAUUUGGAUAUUUCGGCUUAUAUAUAUGUUGAUCAUUUGUAUUUUGGACGAUCAAAUUAAUUAUCUAACUUUUAUGUAUUAUUAGUAGGGUAUGUCAUACCAAAAAUAAGCAAGUAAUAUUUUGUAAUGUACGUAUUUUGCAUUAUAAUUAUUAUAUAUAAAUGAUACUUUAAUUUGUUUAUGUUAGUAUAUUUAGAUUUGUACCGACUAAUUAAUAUUAUAUUACCAUUCCAUCCCAA